CGUGUAGGCGGUCUAAUCAGUCAGAGGUGAAAGCCCUGGGCUCAACCUAGGAAUUGCCUUUGAUACUGUUAGACUAGAGUUCGGGAGAGGAUAGUGGAAUUCCCAGUGUAGAGGUGAAAUUCGUAGAUAUUGGGAAGAACACCAGUGGCGAAGGCGGCUAUCUGGACCGAUACUGACGCUGAGGCGCGAAAGCGUGGGGAGCAAACAGGAUUAGAUACCCUGGUAGUCC
rnacentral:rRNA from 1 species